UUUGCUACAAUUGUGUACAUCGAGUAAUUUUACAAUACAAGACACUUAAAAAGAUAGAGAAAAUGGGCACACAAACUAAAACAUUUAAAAGCUUACAUUAUUUCCAUAUCUACAUGAACAUAUAUAUAUUCAUGGUGUGUCGACUGUGUCACACAUUGUUGAACCAAAAGUAUGGUAAUUUAUGUUAUGGCUUGGCGCAGAGGAAUGCCUUUUGCCUUUAGGCAUACAGUUAUCCACAGCUUUACUAUGGAACACAGAUUUUCUGCCUCCGGUUUAAACAUCGUCAUUUGAUCGUUGGGUUUCCACCCGGCCAGCAGCCUCGACGCAGCAACGACCAUAGCAGUGAUCUUUGGACCUUUGGUGGUAGUCACCGGAGGAGAUAAUAUCAGGAAGAAAAUGAACAUGGCAAUGAAGAAUGAAGGCAUGGACAUUUAUUAUUACUUAUAA
rnacentral:lncRNA from 1 species